CAAAAAGAAAAGAAACAAAAAAGAGAUGUAUCGAAGGCAAACACAGUAACAAGACUGGCCACCUAAAAUUACAUAAAAAACAUUUAGACACAAUUGAAACAAGGACAACAAAAA
rnacentral:lncRNA from 1 species